rnacentral:rRNA from 1 species
AGAGUUUGAUCCUGGCUCAGGAUGAACGCUAGCUACAGGCUUAACACAUGCAAGUCGAGGGGCAGCAUUUCAGUUUGCUUGCAAACUGGAGAUGGCGACCGGCGCACGGGUGAGUAACACGUAUCCAACCUGCCGAUAACUCGGGGAUAGCCUUUCGAAAGAAAGAUUAAUACCCGAUGGUAUAAUCAGACCGCAUGGUCUUGUUAUUAAAGAAUUUCGGUUAUCGAUGGGGAUGCGUUCCAUUAGGCAGUUGGUGAGGUAACGGCUCACCAAACCUUCGAUGGAUAGGGGUUCUGAGAGGAAGGUCCCCCACAUUGGAACUGAGACACGGUCCAAACUCCUACGGGAGGCAGCAGUGAGGAAUAUUGGUCAAUGGGCGCAGGCCUGAACCAGCCAAGUAGCGUGAAGGAUGACUGCCC